rnacentral:rRNA from 1 species
UACGAAGGGGGCUAGCGUUGUUCGGAAUUACUGGGCGUAAAGCGCACGUAGGCGGAUAUGCCAGUCAGGGGUGAAAUCCCGAGGCUCAACCUCGGAACUGCCUCCGAUACAGCAUGUCUCGAGUCCGGAAGAGGUGGGUGGAAUUCCUAGUGUAGAGGUGAAAUUCGUAGAUAUUAGGAAGAACACCAGUGGCGAAGGCGGCCCACUGGUCCGGUACUGACGCUGAGGUGCGAAAGCGUGGGGAGCAAACAGG